rnacentral:lncRNA from 1 species
CGAAAAUGGCAGAAAAGAAAGGGGUUUUGAAGCUCUGAAAUAUCAGCCACUUACAUCCCUUGCUAGUAAGUGAUUUUUAAUGUCUUUCUUGAUGAUUUUUACAUUUUUGGAACCCCUAAAGCAUGAGCUUUCAUAUGAGGGGUCUAUUUUGCAAAAUGAUGAAGAGUCUAGGGUUUUUCCAUGAGAGUAAAUAUGUUGUUUGCUGUGUUUUUAUGGAAGAUUAUGAGUCCUAGUUGUCUAAUAAACAACUUUUGUGAAAGAAAUUGCAUGAAAACACCUUAAAAAGGGCUAGAUUGCUAAGUUGUAAAAUGAGUUGUAAAUGUGUGAAAUAGUUGAAAUUAUGAGUUGCUAUAGUUAUGAAAAUGGUUCAUCUAGACUCAAGGAGUAAAGAAAUGUGAUAAAAAUUAUUUUACGAGCCUAGGGGUAAUUUGGUAAUUUUGGCAAAAUAUAGGGGUAAAAUUGUAAAAAUUGCUCAAGUGUGUCAAUGGACUAAUUUGAUCAGUACAUUGUUUUAAUAAGUUGAAUGUGAUAUUUUAGAUGAUGAAAAUCGAGAUUUGGACCUAGAACGAAAAAAAAUCGAUUAAGGGAUAAUUACGUCUUGUUUUACCUUUGUGGUAUCGAGGUAAGUUCAUAUGUAAAUGUUGGUAACAUAGUUAUUAUUUUAAAUGCUUUGAUGUUAUUUAAAUGAUAUGAUAAUUAUUAUGAGAUAUUAUACUUGUGAUAAUUGUUUGAUAAUAUGUCAAAUUAUAUGAUAUACUUGGAAAAUGUGAAAUACUAUCGAGUAUUGGUAUCGGCAUUCCGUAGAAGAUGGUUGAGACACAUGAUUGGGAAAAAGGUCCCGUUGAACCUUAGGAAUAGAUUAGGAUACAAGUGACAUGUCACUGGAAUAUUUGGGCAUCCGAGCUCGUUGAGUUGAGUCCGAGAUCACUUAUGGAUGCGAAUGUUUGAACUCGUUGAGUUGAGUCCGAGUUCGUGAGAUGUAACUAGGCAUCCGAGCUCGUUGAGUUGAGUCCGAGUUCACUUAUGGAUGCGAACGCCCGAGCUCGUUGAGUUCAGUCCGAGUUCACUUAUGGGCGGGUUACAUGGUAGCUUGGCUACAUAUGUGGCACUUAUGUGCAAACUUUCCAUGUAUCCAAAUUAUAUUCCGAUGUGUUCAAUGGGUAAAAUUCUACUCAAAUGGAGGAAUACUCGAGAUGAAAGGGACGUAUUGAUAAAUGUUGUGAAAUGGAUACUUUGAACAGGUAUGUACUUAACCCUCGGGUUGAAAACUCGGCAUAACAACAUGGUAAGAUGGUAAAUGAAAAUGUGAUAUGAAUGUCUCGGUGAUGAUUAUACAAAUGAUGUUGUAUUAAUUUUGUGAACAAUGAUCAUGAAUGAGUAAUUUAGCCUUGACAGAUUUGAGUUACUGCAGUAGUGUAACUUUGAAAAUACACUAAAAAUAGUGGAAAAUGAGUUAGAGGCAGAAUAAAAUAUGGGAUUAAAGCUUAAUACGUCUAUUUUCACAUGAAAGAAACAGAGGAAGAAAAAUAAUUCCAUAUUGUGUGAUAUUUGAAUUCUUGUGAAACAGGGUCUGAAUGAAUUCGAGAUCCCCUGUUCUGACUUUAUAAAUUCACCAAAAAUUGUACAAAAAUUAUUAAGAGUAAUAAGUUACAUGCAUGGAUUCCUUAUUGAGUCUAUUUUUAGGGGAAAUAAACGGAAUGGUUUUUGGAAUUCUGUACAGGGAGAAAUUCGGUUCGUAGUGCACAGGGGUAGGAGUGGUCAUACCCUGAAACAGGGGAGACUUUAACUAAUAAACUGUACUAAUUGGCCCAACCAAAAAUUCUAGAAAAAAAUUAGUAAAUAGAAAUAUGAGUCUAGUUUCAAGAGAAAUAGACGAGAACAUUAUUUGAGUCUUGUACUAUGAGAUAAUUGAACUUUAGUACAGAAGGGUCGGAACUAUCAGACAGUGAAUCAGGGGUAACUUUGAGGAAUAAACUGUACUAUUUGGCUUAACCAAAAAUUCUGGAAAUUUUUUGGAAGAAAGGAAAAUAAGUAUAGUUUCAUGGAAAUUUAACGGAACUUAAUUCGGAUUUUGGUAGCUCCAGAUAUAAAUAAAUUAGUGACUAUUGCUCAGAAAGACAGUUUGUAGUGAACUUGAGAAUAUGUUGUAAACAUUGAUAAAAUAAGUUAAUGAGUUGCUUAUUGUUUUCAUAUGAACUUAUUAAGCGAAAGCUUACCUCCCUUCUUUCCCAUGUUUCCUAGGGUUUCCAGGUUAGCUUGGGUUGGAGUUCGUCGGAGAUAUUAUCACACUGUCAAGCUAACGCUAUUGGUGUAGUGAUUUCAAGUACUUUGAGUCUAUGGCAUGUAUAGGAGUUUAAAUAUUAGAGUAUGUGAUAUGGCUUUGACCAUAUGUGUUGGCCUAUUUUGAUUAUGGGAUUGUAAAUUCAUUUUAAUUAUACAUGCAUGUGCUAUGGUAUUACGUGAUGAGCUUAUAAUGAUUAUAG